rnacentral:rRNA from 1 species
AAAUAGGUAGGGGAGCGUUCUACUUUGGGUGAAGUCUUUAUGGAAAUGAGGAUGGACAGAGUAGAAGUGAGAAUGUUGGCUUGAGUAACGAAAACAUUGGUGAGAAUCCAAUGCCCCGAAAACCUAAGGGUUCCUCCACUAGGUUCGUCCGUGGGGGGUGAGUCAGGACCUAAGGCGAGGCCGAAAGGCGUAGUCGAUGGCAAACAGGUUAAUAUUCCUGUACUUAUUCUAUUAUUGAACAGGGGGACGAAGGAGGCUAAGCUAGGUCUGUUUCUGGAUUGCAGUGGAAGCGUUUAGGUGUUGAUAGGUAGAAAAAAAGCUAUCCUUGAGCUAAGACGUGAUCCCUAAAAAUGGCUUCGGUUGUUUUUAGCUAGUGAUGCCAAACUUCCAAGAAAAGCUCUUACGAUUUAGGUAGAAUGACCUGUACCUGAAACCGACACAGGUAGGUUAGUAGAGAAUACUAAGGGGCGCGAGAGAACUCUCUCUAAGGAACUCGGCAAAUUGGCCCCGUAACUUCGGAAGAAGGGGCGCCUUCGUUUGUCAGCAACAGCUGGCGAAAAAAGGUCGCAGUGACCAGGCCCAAGCAACUGUUUAUCAAAAACACAGGUCUCCGCAAAGUCGUAAGACAAUAUAUGGGGGCUGACGCCUGCCCAGUGCUGGAAGGUUAAGGAAGUUGGUUAGGGUGUAAACUUGAAGCUGACAACCGAAGCCCCAGUGAACGGCGGUCGUAACUAUAACGAUCCUAAGGUAGCGAAAUUCAUUGUCAAGUAAGUUUUGACCCGCACGAAAGGCGUAAUGAUUUGGGCACUGUCUCGGAGAGAGGCUCGGUGAAAUAGACUUGUUCGUGAAGAUGCGGACUACCUACACCUGGACAGAAAGACCCUAUGAAGCUUGACUGUAUCCUGGAAUUGGGUUCGGGCUUUUCUUGCGCAGCCUAGGUGGGAGGCUAUGAAGAAUUCCUUCUGGGGAAUUUGGAGCCAUCAUUGAGAGACCACUCUAGAAGAGCUAGAAUCCUAAUGGCGAUCCUUGAAUCAGGACGCUUGACAAUUUCAGGUGGGCAGUUUUUUUGGGGCGAAAACCUCCUAAAAGGUAACGGAGGUGUGCAAAGGUUCCCUCAGCCUGGACGGAAAUCAGGCAUUGAGUGUAAAAGCAAAAGGGAGCUUGACUGCAAGACCUACAAGUCGAGCAGGGGCGAAAGCCGGCUUUAGUGAUCCGACGGUACCGUGUGGAAGGGCCGUCGCUCAACGGAUAAAAGUUACUCUAGGGAUAACAGGCUGAUCUUCCCCAAGAGUCCACAUCGACGGGAAGGUUUGGCACCUCGAUGUCGGCUCAUCACAUCCUCGGUCUGCAGUAGGUCCGAAGGGUUGGGCUGUUCGCCCAUUAAAGUGGUACGUGAGCUGGGUUCAAAACGUCGUGAGACAGUUUGGUCCAUAUCCGGUGUAAGCGUUGGAACAUUGAGGAAAGCUUUUCCUAGUACGAGAGGAUUGGAAAGGACAUGCCUAUGGUGUACCUGUUAUCACUCCAGUGGUAAACGCAGGGUAGCUACGCAUGGUUUGAUUAGCGCUGACAGCAUAUAAGUGCGAAACAGAUUCCAAGAUGAGUGUUCCCCAUUAAGCCGCGCGUAGACAAUGCGAUUGAUAGGUAUUACGUGUAAGAGCAGCAAUGCUUUAAGCUGAGAUAUACUAAAGGCUGAUUGAUUUUGAC